AAUAAACAGUAGAUGCCUCUAUCUGGUCAUCUUGGAGUUCUACAGGGGUAUUCAAGGACACAGAAUUAAACCUCAGUGCCUGUGCAGCAUCCUCUGGAGAGCUGCUGUGCCUGGAAUUUCCCCAGGAAGGAUUGUUUCUUUUAGGAUGAUAUGUGAGAAAUGAGAAUUAGAAAUACUAAUGGUAUGAUAUGCUGUCUACCCAUUUUCCCACACUACUUGAGAAGACAGGAAAAGGCCCUCAUGUAUAAUCUGACAGGUCACAAAAAUAUCUGAUUUCAAAGAGAUGCUCGUAUUCUGUGCUGAUGCCAUCUAAGAAUGCAAAUGCUCAAAUGUGACACUGCUAAGUGGAAAAAGUUCCAGCUAUCUACUAAUGGGCACCCUGAGAAACAGCAAGUGAUGGAUCAACUGGUUCUGGCUACUCUCCCGGGACACUUGGAUUGAGUUUCAGGCUCCUGACUUCGUUCUGACCCAGUUCCACCGUUGAGAGCAUUUGGGAAUUGAGCCAGCAGAUGGAAGAAUUCUCCCUAUCUCUGAAAGAUUUUGCUUUAUCUCUGUUUGACUUUCAUUCUCUCUCUAUCCGUAUCCCUUACAAAUAGAAAUAACUUAAUAAAAUGCUACUUAGUUUCCUCCAAAUGAUUUAUAUUUUGUUAACUCCCCUUUUGGAUUACAACUUUCUACUAGUGGUUCAUUUUUUGGGGGGAAUUUAUAAUUGCCUUUGGUUUUGCUUUGUUCAUGGCAUGUGAUAUACCAAGAAAUAAUUAUCUUCAAUGAAUCAUGAAGUUGACUAAUUGCUUAAUAACACUGCUUGUUUUUUUUUUUUUUAAAGAUUUAUUUAUCUAUUUGAAAGUCAGAGUUACACAGAAAGAGAAGGAGAGGCAGAGAGAGAGAGAGAGAGGUCUUCCAUCCGCUGGUUCACUCCCCAAGUGGCUGCAACAGCCGGAGCUGCACUGAUCCGAAGCCAGGAGCCAGGAGCUUUUUCCAGGUCUCCCACGUGGGUGCAGGGGCCCAAAGAGUUCAGCCAUCUUCUACUGCUUUCCCAGGCCUAGCAGAGAACUGGAUUGGAAGUGGAGCAGCCGAGACUCAAAACCGGUGCCCCUAUGGGAUGCCAGCACUGCAGGCGGCAACUUUAUGGGCUUUGCCACAGUGCCGGCCCCAACACUGCAUGUUUAAAGGACAAUAUAGGCUUCAGAAGGCAAUAACUUAGAGAUGUCCUUAAAUUGCACUUGAGGCUUGUCCACAGUUUAUUAAUUGUUUCAAUUUUGGUAGCCUUUGCUCAAUUGUGCCUGCAAAUUAUACUUUAGAAAGCAUUCAGACUUCCUUCAUCUUUGUGUUCUGAAAAUACUCUGUUCACACUUGAUAGCUUACUUGGGAAUGCCACCUAUAAUAUUUCUGUUUCAGUUGGAAUAGAUGCACAACAAGAAUUGUUAUGAACAAUUGAAGAUGAUAAUAACAUUUAUGGUUUUUGUUUAUGAAAUAACUGCAUAUCUGUACCCCACUCUGGUGGUCUUCCUGUAUCCUGAUCACACAUAAAAUCAUUUAUUCAAUUUUAGCAUUUAUUUAUUACCUUCUGUGUGUCAAGAGUGAUUCUAAAGGCUUGGAAAAAAAGAGUGAAACUUUCACUCCCAAGAAAGACGGCUAUUUACUGGUGAGAUAAGUGAGCUCACUGACUUCAAUGAGCUCACUUGCCAGUAAACUAAGAACACUAACACUAAAACACGUUGAGUCAUACACGUCUCUGAAUAUCCAUAGAUUGCUGCCUUUUACUGGUCGUACUACAACAGACUUCCCACAUAUUCCCUCAGAUAUCCAGAUCCAGUACUCCUUAGAUCUAACUGGGGUCUACACACCGAUGAAUCUCACCAUCCUCUUGUUUUCCUCCUGUGUGUUCCUCCUCUUUCAAUAUUCAUAUUUCUCCUUAUAAUGAUUCAUGUUCAUGAUGAUCAUUAUUACUAACCACUGGUAUGGAUGUUUGCCACUGUUCUUCUGAUUUGUCAAACUCUCUUCAGUAAACCCUAAACUGGUUAAAAUUUAUCAAUCUUCCAGUUUGGUUUCAGUACCCAUGUAGCUAAGUGUAGCUGGAAACAAAUACAUAACUCUUCAUUGUCACACUCCUUUUUCCUGCCUCUCAUAAAUGUUCACCAGGUUCUUAUCUGUUCAGAGAUUUUGCCUGGGCUGUCUCCGUGCCUUGGAGCUUCCUCCCUCAAUUUUCAUAGGACUCACUGCCCCACACUCAAAUAGCUCCACUACCUGUGGAGUCCCUCCUGGUUGAAAUUUUAAAACAGAAUGUACAUAUUCUAUUUUAUAUUCAUAUAUUUGUAUUUCAUAGAAUCAUUCUCCCAUAACAUCCUGCUUUUAUUUCACAAAAUGAAAUAUAUAUAGAAUUCUGUAGGAAAAUUACAUUAAAAUGGUAUUAUGGAAUUAAUAAUAAUGUGCUUCCUAAUUCAUGCAGAUCUUGCUUUAGAGCUAACAAUUAUCAAAAUUUACCAAAAGUGAUGGGAGUAAAUGAUCACUUGAGGUAUUGUGACAACCAUAACAUAACAAAAAUAUCUGAUCGGUUUCUAUUUAUGAAAAAUUCACAGGUAGUGACCAUACUGUUUGAAUAGUUUAAUUAAUAGCUUAAUAGUUUAAUAAAAUUUUAAUAAUAAUUGAAGUUAAUGCCCAUUUUCAAUUAGAGAUUUUUAAAAAUGUUUUGUUUUUCUCAUCUAAGUUUGUAAACUUCAUUAAUUCUACCCACGGGAUACUUAGAAGUUUAUGGAACCCUUGUUAAGAAACCUGACUAGUCCAAUUCCCUGAUGUUAUGGGUAAGAGACUCAAUAUUCUAAUGCUUUAUUGAUUUAGUUAAGUGGGGACGAAAGGGCUAAGACUGAAUGUUGACUCUCCCAGCUCUCGUUCCACUGCUGAGUGACCAAAGCACAGUCCUCAGCAUAAGCAAAACAGCAGCUUUGUGAGUAAAUACACUUUCAAGGACAAAUUGAAAACAUCAGGAAGACUAUUCUAAUGUGACAGUGAUUGGAUAGGUCUUUAAAUGAAUCUAAAAUUUCAAGUACUACUUACUAAAUUAAGGAUCAAAACAUUUACAGUCCCGUUAUACUCCCUCUUCUUCCUUUUGUUUAUUUUCUUGGGACACUGAUGAUUAACUAAAUAAAAAACUCCAGUACUGGGGCCAGCACUGUGGCACAGCAAGUUAAGCUAUGGCCUGCAGUGCUAGCAUCCCAAAUGAGCACCUGUUUCUCUCCCGGCUGCUGCACUUCCAAUCCAGCUUCCUGCUAAGGUGGCUGGGAAAGCAGUAAAAGAAGGCCCCUGGGCCCCUGGCAUCCACAUGGGAGACCCUGAAGAAGCUCCCAGCUUAGACCUGGCCCAGCCUGGUCAUUGCAGCCUUUUGGGAAGUGAACCAGUGGAUGGAAGAUGGAUCUCUCUCUCUCUCUCUGUCUAGCUCUCUCCUACUGUCUUUGUAACUCUUUCAAGUAAAUGAAUAAAUCUUUUUUAAAAAAUCCAGCAAAAAAACUUCAAUAUCUCUUUAAUAUACAUGUUUUUUUGCUAACUUGUUUUACUAUGUAACCUACUAGACCAUAGGCUUCAUAAAGUUGAAACUUGCCUUGUCCCAACAUCACUUCAUUCCUUCCACUAUGUUGCUUGUUGCAGAGUGGUAUCAAAUAAUAUUUGUUGAAUGAAUUAAUUUACUAAAUUUUAAAGUAAAUUCUAUAUAGUAUAACUUUUUAUUUUACAAACACAUUUUUAUUUAAACAUAAUAUAGAAUGACCUACUAAUAAGUAAAAUUCAAUAUAUCUUACUUGCUAGCUGACAAGAGGUUAAUGCAAAAAUCAUAAACUAGUAUAAAACGAAUACAAAAAUACUAUAAUGUAAUUAAUAUUCUUUAUUUUAAAGUAUGAGGAAUCAUAACAAUGUGGACUCUUAUGAAGAGGUAAUUUAUAAUCUAUAGAUGAGACUCAAUAAGGUAUUGUACUCAUUCAAUACUAGUGUUUAUAAGAGUAUACUUAGAAUAUUUGUCUUGUACAUCACAGAAAAAAAGCAAACUUACAAUUUCUUAGGGAAAGCUUGCCUAAGAAAAUGUGUCUGUUCAUAAAAGAGCAGUUAGAAUUCUCUAAAGGAAUCUUCAGCUGUUUGUGCAGGUAGGUGGAAGAUGCAAUGUCUAAAAUGAAGGGAGACAUUGGGAAAGCUGGUAGGAGGACUAAGUGAAACAAUGCAGGCAGAGGCAAAAGCACAGCAGUGGGCAAGAAUUUAUGACCUUGAUGUGGGUGGUGAGGAGAAGCAAGUAAGAAAUAAUAUGUUAUAGCAAUAAAAGUAAGAAAUACUCAGAAGAAAACCUGAUUUUUUUUUUUUUUUUGACAGGCAGAGUGGACAGUGAGAGAGAGAGAGACAGAGAGAAAGGUCUUCCUUUUGCCGUUGGUUCACCCUCCAAUGGCCGCCGCGGCCAGCGCGCUGCAGCCGGCGCACCGCGCUGAUCCGAUGGCAGGAGCCAGGAGCCAGGUGCUUUUCCUGGUCUCCCAUGGGGUGCAGGGCCCAAGCACCUGGGCCAUCCUCCACUGCACUCCCUGGCCACAGC